rnacentral:rRNA from 1 species
GACGAACGCUGGCGGCGUGCUUAACACAUGCAAGUCGAACGAAGAGCGAUGGAAGCUUGCUUCUAUCAAUCUUAGUGGCGAACGGGUGAGUAACGCGUAAUCAACCUGCCCUUCAGAGGGGGACAACAGUUGGAAACGACUGCUAAUACCGCAUACGACCUAAUCUCGGCAUCGAGGAUAGAUGAAAGGUGGCCUCUACAUGUAAGCCAUCACUGAAGGAGGGGAUUGCGUCUGAUUAGCUAGUUGGAGGGGUAACGGCCCACCAAGGCGAUGAUCAGUAGCCGGUCGGAGAGGAUGAGCGGCCACAUUGGGACGGAGACACGGCCCAGACUCCUACGGGAGGCGGCAGUGGGGAAUCUUGCGCAAGGGACGAAAGUCUGACGGAGCAACGCCGCGUGAGUGAUGACGGCCUUCGGGUUGUAAAGCUCUGUUAAUCGGGACGAAAGGCCUUCUUGCGAAUAGUGAGAAGGAUUGACGGUACCGGAAUAGAAAGCCACGGCUAACUACGUG